AAAACAAUUAUUAUUGUGCAGGUCAUAUUUGAUAACUGUUGUUAAUUGAUAACAUAUUACAGGGACACAGUAAAAAGACAAAACAUUUAGACCCUUUGAAAGAGAAAUGUUUGCAAUGGAUAUUAAUAAAUUCUAGCCAAUUUGUACGAUGUACAAUGCAGGCAAUAUUUCUGCCUCCUAACGCACUAUUCGCGUAAAAGAAGAUGUGGGUAUUGUAUUUAUAGAACAGAUUUAUUAUUAGUUGGCUAGUGUGUUAGUAGGAUAGCCAUUGGUAGUUAUAAAGUAUGAAGUCGUCAGGUAUUAAUAAUAGGAAUUGAU